GGGGGGGGGGGGGGGGGGGGGGGGGGGGGGGGGGGGGGGGGGGGGGGGGGGGGGGGGGGGGGGGGGGGGGGGGGGGGGGGGGGGGGGGGGGGGGGGGGGGGGGGGGGGGGGGGGGCCUAACCAAUCAGCGCCCGCAUCGCAGCGCGCGGGCGAAACCAAACGAGAGCGCGGGCGAUGGAGCGGGUGAGGCCUGAAGGGUCCGGGGGGGACAGAGGGGGGACUUGGGGGAUCCCUGAAGGGAAUCUGGGGGGCUGGCGGGGACCCCGCGUCACUCCCCGCAUCCCCCCCGCAGAAGCUCAGCCUGGAGCAGCGAACGGAGCGUCUGAUGCAAAGGAGCCAGGCCCUGCUCAGGCCCCGCCCCUGCGGGCCAGAGGGGGCGGGGCCUCUGCUUGGCUCCGCCCCCUCCAGCUCCAUGCUCGAUGACCCCCUCGUUCAAUGGCGCUCGAGGCGGUGCCGAGGGGCGGAGCCAUCGCUGGACACGCCCCUGGUAGGCGGGCCCAUGCUGGGCUCUGCUGCUCCCCAGGGCGCCCUGCACGGAGUGCCACGGGGGCGGUCGCUGGGGGCCCCCGGGGCCCUGCAGGGCGCAGCACCCUGGGAGUCACGUGACCCCUCUAAGGCCCCAUGGCCAAUCAGGAGACACUUCCGCAAGCAGCAGGGGGCGUCUGCACCCCAGGCUGUCUCCCCGGAACCCUUGUGGCAGGAGCCAUGUUGGAGGUCACAUGACUCCCACAAGGCCCGCUGGCCAAUAAGGAGCAGCUCACUGGAUACCCUGCAGGGGGCAGGAUACUCACAGUCACGUGACUCCCACGAGGCCCUGUGGCAAAUCAGCAGCUGUUGUGCAUCUGCGCACCAGGGGGCGCCACUCCAUGGGAAGCAAGAGUGCCACGAGCCCUUGCGGCAUGAGCCAUUUUGGGACUUAUAUGACUGCCUCGGAGAUCUGCAGUGUGCACCAUAUCGGAAGUCACGUGACUCCCAGGAUGCCCUGCGGCCAGUAAGGGAGGCGCAUCCUGAGCUCCUGUGCCGGGGAGCGCCAGGCUUGGGGUCACGUGACCCCUGCAAGGCCCCACAGCCAAUCCGGAGCAGUGCCGGUGAUGCCCUACAGGGGGCGCCAUUGCAGCAGCCACUGGGCCCACUGGGGGACCCCCUCCUCUGGAUGCUGCGACGCCACCGCCGGGCCAUAAGGGGACGCCUUCGGGCCAUCGAGACUCUUCUGGAAUGCCCACCUGGGCACCCCCAACCCAUGGUGGGACCAAUAAAGCAGUGACACCCCAAAAUUGCACCAGGGAGGUGGGGAGACCCCCAGAAUCCUCUCCUUUACCUCCCCUACCUUUAGGAUUGCCCCAAUCCCCUCUCCCCCCAUAUGCCCCCAAGAGCAUUUCGGGGAUUCUGGGAGCUCGAAGGAGGGUGUUGCUGAGGUGCUGGGUGUCUCUGGGGGGUCCAUGAGGAUCUGUGGGGUGUUUGGAGGGGCUCUGAGGCUGCAGAAGGGGUUUGGGGGGUGCAUGGGGAGCGCUGGAAAUUGGGAGUGGUUUGGGAGGCCCUAGGUCUCUAUAGGGGUUCUGGAAGAAACCUGUGGGAUUUUGGGGGGGCACUCUAUGGGUGUUGAGGGAGAUCUGUGGAAGAUGUUGGGGGUCCAGAAAGGGGUUUGCAGGGACCCUUGGGUUUUGGGGGUCUUUAAGGGUCCGGGGGUCUGUGGGAUGUUUUGGGAAUCCCAGGACAGGGCUGGAGGGUCUGUGAGGACCAGGAAGUCUACAGGGGUGUCUGGGGGGUUACUGAGCGUAUCGGGGCAGGGAACCCCCAAACCUGUGGGGCCGUGGCUCACCUGUCUUCUUACCCUCACGGCCGACGUGGCGUCGGGGCAUUCUGGUGUUGCCCUGCCCCUGAGAGCGCUCUGGGGGGUCAUGAGGGGCCUCAGAAACCCCUCCUGAGCCCCCCAAAAUCCCUGGGGAAACCCCUGGGGCCCCCCCCCCGCCUCCAGCUCACCGCUGGCUCGCGCCAGUUUACUCGCUUUCUGGACUACAAUUCCCGAAAUGCCGCGGGCCCCGGAGAACGCCUUGGGGGGGGGGGGGGGGGGGGGGGGGGGGGGGGGGGGGGGGGGGGGGGGGGGGGGGGGGGGGGGGGGGGGGGGGGGGGGGGGGGG
ensembl:lncRNA